rnacentral:lncRNA from 1 species
CAUGCCACCUUGCGAAACAAGCCUUUGAUGAAGCUAUAGCAGAACUUGACAGCCUCAACGAAGAAUCCUACAAAGACAGCACUCUCAUCAUGCAGCUUCUAAGGGACAAUCUUACUUUGUGGACCUCAGAUCUUCCAGAAGAAGGAGGUAUUAUCUUUUGUUCCAGCUCUACGUAUAUAAAAUCACCAUAAUUCAUACAUGGAGUCAUAAACUACAGCUUAACGUGGAUAAGUAAAACAACCACCUAUGUGAAGCCUAAAGACAUCAUUUCGUAACAUAUCAAUAAAAAAUUUAUACAAUAGAAAGAGACUUUAUCAUACAAUGCACAAUAUAUAUAUUCAAUAUCUAUUAAAUAAUUCUAUGUAAAACACACCGCAACAUGAUAUGAGCGUGAAAAUCUGGUAAACGAGACUCAUAGAAGGUAAACAAUAUUAGAUUGGACAACAUUUCACCAAAUGUGAACUUAUUCAAUUCACAAAUUUUAUUUUUUAUUUAAUUAUUAAUUUUCUUUUAAAAAAAUUGGACACACCUGAAUCGAAAAUGGCGCAGAACAAGAAAAUAGUAUAAAAUGCAAGGCGCACAGUAAAAAAUGGGAAGAUAAUAAUACGCCUCACUCCAAUGUUAACUUGUAUACCUUGGUAAACCAAAUCAGUGACUAGUAAGGGAUGAAUUCCAUGCCUAUGAUUUUAAGCACUAUGGUCAUGUUCUCACAGUUAGUAUGUUUAGACACUCUCCAAAAGAAAUUUCCUUUGCCCAUUUUGAUCAUUCAUUUGAAGGUUUACUGUAUAAUUUGUGUUACCCCACUGAUUGUUUGGCAUUGACUUGACAGGGCAUGCCACCUUGCGAAACAAGCCUUUGAUGAAGCUAUAGCAGAACUUGACAGCCUCAACGAAGAAUCCUACAAAGACAGCACUCUCAUCAUGCAGCUUCUAAGGGACAAUCUUACUUUGUGGACCUCAGAUCUUCCAGAAGAAGGAGGUAUUAUCUUUUGUUCCAGCUCUACGUAUAUAAAAUCACCAUAAUUCAUACAUGGAUUUCAUAACCUACAUGCAUUGCAUUUUUUU